rnacentral:lncRNA from 1 species
UGCAUUCACAAUAUAUUAUAAGUAAAAUAAUUUUUCAUUUCAUAAUUCACUCUACGUUGAGGUCAAUUCCUUCUCUCACUAGGGGAAUAUCUCAUUAUUUUGUGAUUUUUGUUGAUGAUCAUUCUCGUUAUACAUGACUCUAUCUUAUAAAAAAUUAAUUUGAACUUGCUCAUAUAGAUCAUGAUUUUGUUACCAUGAUCAAAAAAUGAUUUUUUAGAGACAUCAAAUUUUUUCGUACUAAUAAUGCAAUGGAAUAUAGAGAUACAAAAUUUAUUAGAAUUAUUUUUGAAGAUGGUACUAUCAUUCAUCAUUCUUAUCUAGGAACUUCCCAAUAAAAUACUCAAGGAGAGCAUCAACUUAGUCACAUCUUAGAUGUUCUACGCACUUGCUUAAUCUCAGCCUCUUGUCCUAGCUAAUGUAUCAAUCAUAUUCCGUCACUAAUUGCAAGUAACAUGUCCUCUUAUG